rnacentral:lncRNA from 1 species
GCCAAAACAAACUGAAUCAAUAUCCAUUAAAAUUGGGAAAAUUCAUCUAUCCUAAUCUAUGGAACCAACUCUCAACACUUCGAAACGAACUCGAAACUGCAAUAAUUCCUCUAAUUGAAGCUCGAUUCAACAACAGACGAGCCGAUACUGAACAAAGGAAGAACGAGUUAGAAUCAGAAUCAGAAACAAAAUCAGAGCAAAUUUUGCCAUAUCUUGAUACAUUGAUAAACCUACACUUACCAGAAGAGAAUCGGAAGCUUGAAGAAGGUGAAAUCAUCAGUCUAUGCGCGGAAUUUCUCAAUGGAAUCGUCCAUUCCACAGUAGUGGUGAUGGAGUGGGCAAUGGCAAACAUCGUAAAAUAUCCAGAAGUCCAAGAGAAGCUAUGGAGAGAGAUGAAUCAAGUAAUGAAUAUAACAUCAUCGAAAGAACACAUAACAGAGGAGGAUCUAAAGAAAUUGCCGUACCUGAAAGCGGUGAUAAUGGAAACGUUGAGGCGGCAUCCGCCAGGGCAUUUGGCUCUACCACACUUGGUGACGGAGGAGGUGGUGUUGGACGGAAAAUUUGUUGUGCCGGAAAAGACAACGGUGCAUUUUGCGGCAGCGGAG